UGCCCUGGAUUAGGCUUUGGCUUAAGGGAGUGUUGUGGCUGGUUUGAUCUAUCCGGGCCACUAAAGUGUCUCCAUUUCAGC
rnacentral:pre_miRNA from 1 species